rnacentral:snRNA from 1 species
GUGCUGGCUUUGACAGCACAUAUACUAAAAUUGGAUUAAUACAGAGGUUAACAUGGCCCCUGCACAAGGAUGAUACGAAAAUUUGUGAAGCGUUCCACAUUUUU